GUGCCAGCCGCCGCGGUAAGACAGAGGGUGCAAACGUUGUUCGGAAUUACUGGGCGUAAAGCGCGUGUAGGCGGCAUGACAAGUCGGAUGUGAAAGCCCUGGGCUCAACCCAGGAAGUGCAUUCGAUACUGCCGUGCUAGAGUCCCGGAGAGGGUGGUGGAACUCUCGGUGUAGAGGUGAAAUUCGUAGAUAUCGAGAAGAACACCGGUGGCGAAGGCGGCCACCUGGACGGUGACUGACGCUGAGACGCGAAAGCGUGGGGAGCAAACAGGAUUAGAUACCCCCGUAGUCC
rnacentral:rRNA from 1 species